UCCGGCUUAUCACCGGCGGUUUCUUUAGAGUGCCCAACUAAAUGAUGGCAACUAAAGACGAGGGUUGCGCUCGUUGCGGGACUUAACCCAACAUCUCACGACACGAGCCGACGACAGCCAUGCAGCACUUGUCACUCAUCCAGCCGAACUGAAGGAAUCCAUCUCUGGAAUCCGCGAUGAGGAUGUCAAGGCCAGGUAAGGUUCUUCGCGUUGCAUCGAAUUAAGCCACAUACUCCACCGCUUGUGCAGGCCCCCGUCAAUUUCUUUGAGUUUUAGCCUUGCGGCCGUACUCCCCAGGCGGGGUGCUUAAUGCGUUAGCUACGGCACCGCAGGGGUCAAAGCCCGCGACACCUAGCACCCAUCGUUUACGGCGUGGACUAC
rnacentral:misc_RNA from 1 species